UGUAAGAAUAAGCACCGGCUAACUACGUGCCAGCAGCCGCGGUAAUACGUAGGGUGCAAGCGUUAAUCGGAAUUACUGGGCGUAAAGCGUGCGCAGGCGGUUUUGUAAGACAGAGGUGAAAUCCCCGGGCUCAACCUGGGAACUGCCUUUGUGACUGCAAGGCUGGAGUGCGGCAGAGGGGGAUGGAAUUCCGCGUGUAGCAGUGAAAUGCGUAGAUAUGCGGAGGAACACCGAUGGCGAAGGCAAUCCCCUGGGCCUGUACUGACGCUCAUGCACGAAAGCGUUAAGUGACAAACAAGAUUAGAUACCCUGGUAGUC
rnacentral:rRNA from 1 species